GGGGCAGAGAGAUCGAAGGAGCAGAGCGAAGCAGAACAGGAGGCGACGCAGGAUGCCACGCAAUCCGGUGCUGAUAAUGGUGUUGCUUGGUAUGAGAUCGAUCUAAGCUUAAGUUGAAUCAAAAAUUAUGCCCAAACUCUCUUUCAAAACUCAUCUCAAUAAAAUUAAUCAAAACUUAGGCUGCAAAAUAUAGUCAAAGCAAAAGCGAAAUCAUCUACAAAUGUAACACAGAGAACCACCCAUCCCGAGAGAGCAGAAACUCUAAGAACAACAACAACAACAGCAACAACAACCUACAAAAACAACAACAACAACAAAAUGAUAGCGAGAGCUCUCGCUGCUCGUUACAUUUUGCACACGCACUACUCGUUUCAUCAUCGUAUCGUGACCGCUCCCGUCACAUUGUGACCGCUCUGUCGUCUCGACUCGUUUCUGUCUCUCGUCGUCUUAUGCUCGUCUUUCUCUUUUUUCCUCUCUCUUUCUCUCUCUCUCUCUAUCGUUCUAUUUUUCUAGCUAUCGUUCCCUAGUACUACAGUUAUUGCUAUUUCAGUUCCAAUGCAUGCCAUAUACAUUCUUAGAAGUUUCUUUUGAUAUCGCUAUAUAUUUUCCUCUGUUCUUCCACACCUACUCCACCAAUGCAAUCCACAUCAAUCGUCACAUCCAUCAUCAUCCCAAGCCCACCCAAAAACCAAAAUAGUCCACACACUAGUCGACAAAACGCUAACUCAAUCAUAUCAAUCAUGAGACACGAAAAAAUGUCAAAGCCUCGAUAAAUGUAACCCACCCAUCAUUCUGUAGAAGAGAAGCCUUAGAAGCGCCCCCCCGCCCCAAAAAGAAAUCCCAUUUUAUGUUAACCAGCGAAACCGAAGAACCGAACAAGAUCUACUAUGAACUUUAAUCCAAAGGUUUCCCCGCCCUAAGCUUGCCUAAGAACCAAACUGAAACUAAACUUAAAACUAUCCCAACAGCAAAAGAAAAAGCAAAAGCAAAUGAAAAGAAUAAGAAGAGAAGUAGAAUCGUAUUUUGAGUAGCGCUUUUUGAUUUAUUUGGUAGCCAGGCAAACGCUAACCGAAACAGAAGUUUUAGUUGUGUUUUUCAACGUAAAAUAUAAAAUAUAAACUAUGGAUAAUAUAAUUUUAUAUACAACAUACAUACUAUAGAGUUAUAAAUUUAAAGGCAGACGCUGUAGAUGAUUACUCGAUCGAUGAUUAAGCUUUAGUUCUAACAGAUAUGUUACUUAUGAUUACCUAGCGACAAUUAUUAUAUACGCAACAGACAACAAACAAACAAACAAACAAACAACACACAACAAUUACACACGAAAGAUACUAAAAACUAAUCGACGUAGUAGAAGAACCCACGAUAUUUAUACGAGUAUAUGGAUCAUAGUUGAAAAAACAAAUAACAAAACGAUUAGCGAGAAAUAUUUUAGUGAAAAAUCCAAAAAGUCAGCUGAAACUUUAUAUGUUUAAAUGCGAAACUGCAAAAUGGACUUGAAACAAGAACAAACAAGAGGAAAACUAUAUUAUAUUAUAUUAUUAACUAUUAUUACGAGUAUAUACGAUAUUGAGAGGGCGUGCCCCAGGGGCCGACCAACAACAACAAACAAAAUAAGGCGCUGUUCAGCUAAUCGAGAAAAUAUAUAGUGAAAAUCGUUUACGUUUAAUAAAAUACUAAGUUCUGCUUAUCGCUACGCGAAUAUGAUUUCCAUUUACAACUUAGGGAUGAUAUAUGAUUUCAGCAUUAGAAAAGAAAAGACAACAAUCAGAACACACCAAAUACACAGACAUUCCACAGACACACAUUCCACAUAACGAGGCUACCACUGAGGUUGCCCCAUGAUGAAAAUAGUGCGAAGUGAAAUAUAGUUAAGGAAACAUUCGACGGGGGAAUACCCCUUGAGAGAAGAACCUAUGAAAUAAUCCAAAAUAUAUAGCACAUUUAAUGUUAAUCUUAAGUUGAGGAACAAACAAACGUAGAGAAAAUUCAGCAGAGAGCGUAAAAUUAAUUAUACGAUUAAGUAAGUCGCGCAAAAGACCCCAAAAGACACCAGAAAACAGAGAUACCGAAAGGUAAACAACCUACAAAAUAAGCAGCAAACGAAACGAAGAUGCAGAAGAGAAGAAAAAUCACCAAAUAAUUAAGGAAAAACUUCACCGAGAAGCGAGAAACGAGAAGCAGAUGAACGAUGAUGAGGACGGAAUGGAGCGAGUGCUCCUAGCGAGGAGCAAAAAAGUAAACAAACAAUAGAAAAACCCAUAUUUAGUGGUAAAUUUUAAGAAGGAAACACUCUGCAAUCAUACGAGAGCUCUGGGAAAACCGAAGCGAAGCGAGGCUACAUCGAAACACACACCUUUGAUGGAAGCACAAAGUUGCAUCCAGCUACCAGAAAGAACGAUGCAACAACCCAACAAAAGUGUUUCCAUCGCUAAGCAGAUGCAAAAGCAGAUACACAAAAACUAAAUUAAGGUAUUGGUGGUUACAAAAAUAUUAUAUGUAUAACUAAUUGAUGUUUGGAAAAGACGACGAUGAAAUAACGAUAUAAUCAAAAAGGCCCGAGGGCUGUCAAUGACACGCUGCAAUCCAGCGACAUUGCCAGACCUCACAGACAGGAGACCGUUGUGGCAUAGGGAACAUGUCUGGCAUCAGCGCUGCAUGUUCCGUAUCCAGCUUGACGGCUAACGUCUGUUUAUUGAAAGUUGAAAUCAAAUCAAAUUAUAUGAAUCUACGAAUAUAUAUAUGUGUAUAGUGUUGUACUCAAGAGUGUCAUCGAGUGUCGUGCCACAGGCUCAGGCUCGCAGGCUGAGAAGCGUUUAAAAGAGUUCCAGAUAGUAGUUUUCCGGGGUCCGACUGUACACGCCACUCAAGAGAGCACUAAGCACGCCGAGUAGCCGGGCACGGAGUCUCGGCGAAACGGGUGUGAGGGUGCCACCAAAAUUGAGCGAGUGAACAGUCGGCCAAAGGAUUGAUCUUUUUUGAGAAGAGAAGUCUCCUUCGAUGAUGUCCAUGUCAUACGAUUUCCACGAGGCCUCGACUGAGUCUGUGCCACGAACACCGCUCGAACAGUCGCUCCCCAAAAUGUACUCGCACUUUCGUCAGUAUUUAAUCGAACAAAUCGUUAAUUAACAUUCCAAAUAAAUACAAUUAAAUAUGGGAAAGUCAUUCGAGGAGCGAAGUGAAGUGAAAAGAAAGAGAAAUGGUACAUUUUAGUAAUUUUUCCAGCAAGUUACAAACUAUAUAUAAAUGUUAAAGUAAAUAAUCAGAAAGACAAUUCUUAAUUGAUCGAAAGAAGUAGAUCGAUAGAUCACUUAUCGACUCGAGAUUUCAAUUAAACUCUCGAAAGGUCGGUGGGUGAGACGCGCAAACAGGUGCCAAACGGUUCGAUAGACAGAAGGUUCUGCCAUGAGCAGACCUUUGGGGCGAAUGCCGGGAAAAAAUUAUGAACAAAAAACUAAUUAAAUAUAAAGAACACACGAUUCUCUAGACCGUAAGUUGAUGUUACAGUUCAUUGAAAAGCGUUUAAAUAUUAUAUGGCAUACCAGAAUAUUAUGGAUUAAACAAGCAUUAACUAUAUAUACAUAUAUAUGAUAUGAUAUGAUAUCGAUACAACAAUAUAUUGCAAGUAUUCAAAUAUUCAUUGGAAAAACAUAAAAGAAACCUUUAUUGUUACAAUUUUAGGUGUAAGUCACGUAACAGAUAAGAUAUUUGGACAUAUAGGUUACGAUUCUUACGAUAUAUAAACGAUAAAAUGAUUGAUUCUUAAACUUGUCGAAUUGCGAACUCAGACAAACAACAAAAGCACGGUGCCACACAACAUCCACAGGCUAAACCAGAAACCAAAGAAACCAAAAACAAAACCAAACAAAACAAAGAAAAACAACCCGACAAAACAAUUAUAAUUUAGUCAAAGGAAAAUCUAAAUGAAAUCUAGCUAGUAAGUGAAUUUUAACGCAGCAAAGCAAACAACAACAACAACAACACAACAAGAAACAAAAGACAAAACUACACGAAAAGAAAGAUCGAAAGUCAUAGGAGGAAGGAAUAGGAGGAAGAAGAAUUCACCAGAAUGAACGAAAAAGAAAAAAACACGAAAACUCAAAAUAGUAUGAUAUAAACGAACAUGUAUUUAGCUGUUAACAAAAAACAAAAACAAACAAAAAAAACUACUAAACAAAUGGAAAACCAAAAACCAAAUACAGAAAACAAAAAACCGAAAACAAAGAAAAACCAAAGCAUAAGUAUGAUUAUCAUUAAAGGAACUUCUCUAAAUAAAAAGUAAACUUUGAAAAUCCUUAGCGGAGAAAAACUACCCUCUCUCUAUAAAAAAAAACCAAAAAACGAAAAACCAACAAAAAUACUGUCGAUUGUGUUUUAUUUCCCCCUCUCCCCCCAAGACCUUCGUCGACCGAAAGAAAGCUUCCCCCAACCAGAAAAUCCUCCCAGAAAUAUCGAUGUUGAUGAUGAUGCCUUGCUUUGUGUGCUUUCCUCCCCUCCCGCCACUCUUUUUCCUUUGCCUUGCUUUUGCUUGAGUUUUUGGAAUUUAUUUAGUGUUUAUUUGGUAUCAUUUUGAUAUGUUUGCGGUAUAUUUGCUUCUUUGGGCUGUACAUAUAAUUAUUGUGCCUGCGCUUGAGCUUCGUUUUUGAGCAAAAUCUAAAUGUCUUUCUCCACAUCACAACGAUUUGCACACUUCGGUGACCCCGACCCUCUGAAAUUUGUAGCUUUGGUGACUCCUGACUUCUGAGUCUGAGGUGUGUAAAGGGUGCUCUUCUUUUAGCUUCAGCUUCAGAGAUCGACGUAAGUAGAUAUAUAUGGAAAUGAGAGCCUGAGAACAAAGGGCUAAGGACUGUGACAGUUCCUCAGAUGCGAAGUCAGAAUCAGGCAUCUGCUGUUCGCAGGAAACUUUUAUCUUUUCUUGGCAGGCGAUAAGAAAAGUUUUUGUAGGGCAAGUUUUCCUAUAGAAUUUUCAGCAAGCUCUCGGAGAAGUUUCGCCUCCGGAAAGAAACAUGUUUCGUGUAAUUAGCAAACGCAAACGACAGAUAGAGGGAAAGACAGAGAGAGAGAGAGAGCGAGUACAUAUCUCUUUCUGUCGCUUCCUUUGUCCAGCGACAAUUCAAUUAAAUACCAGACGAUGACUAGGACUAGGACUCCUCUCCGUUUGCAUGGCAAUUGAAAUGCAAUGAUGUUUAAAUAUUGCAGAUACACUCGUUCAAUCGCAGUGGCACCCGUAUAUUAUAGAUGGGUGGAUGGUGCGGAAUGGCAACAGCUCUCGUUUAAGUACAAUUCGAGCUUAACAAAUCAAUUGGCAGUCGGUGAACUGUGCCAAUGACUGGCACUCGCUUGGAUUCGAUUAGAAAAUGGAUUGGGAAUUGCUGUUCGCCUUUUGUCUCGAUAGAACAAUGAAUCAUUUGAGAGAAACUCUUUUAAUUGCUUCAGAUCAUAGAUUUUUGUGGAAUAAAUAAAGAUUUGCAAUGAAUCAUAGAGCA